rnacentral:sRNA from 1 species
GAACGUGAAGGAUAACGUUGCUUUAGCAACGGCCCGAAGGGCGAGGCGAAGCCGAGUCAUCCUGCACGACCCACCA